rnacentral:rRNA from 1 species
UUAAGCAUAUUAAUUAGGGGAGGAAAAGAAACUAACAAGGAUUUUCUUAGUAGCGGCGAGCGAAAAGAAAUCAGUUCAGCACUAAGUCACUUUGUCUAUAUGGCAAAUGUGAGAUGCAGUGUACGGAACAUCAACAUUCUAGUAUGAGAAGUUAACGAUUUAAGUCCUUCUUAAAUGAGGCCAUUUAUCCAUAGAGGGUGCCAGGCCCGUAUAACGUUAAUGAUUACUAGAUGGUUUUCAAAGAGUCGUGUUGCUUGAUAGUGCAGCACUAAGUGGGUGGUAAACUCCAUCUAAAACUAAAUAUAACCAUGAGACCGAUAGUAAACAAGUACCGUGAGGGAAAGUUGAAAAGAACUCUGAAUAGAGAGUUAAAUAGUACGUGAAACUGCUUAGAGGUUAAGCCCGAUGAACCUGAAUAUCCGGUAUGGAAAAUUCAUCAUAAGAAUUGUAAUAUUUUAAACAAUAUUAUAAUAAUAGUGUGCAUUUUUUCCAUAUAAGGACAUUGUAAUCUAUUAGCAUAAAUAUUUAUCAUAAAAUUAUGUCUGAUUGCUUAUUUGAAUUAUAUGCUUGGCAUUUUAACAUAAAAUAAAAGAUAUAAAUUUGAUAAAGUGCUGAUAGAUUUAUAUGAUUACAGUGCGUUAAUUUUUCGGAAUUAUAUAAUGGCAUAAUUAUCAUUGAUACUUGUGUUUAUUAUAUGCAUUUGUAUGAUUAACAAUGCGAAAGAUUCAGGUUACCUUCGGGACCCGUCUUGAAACAUGGACCAAGGAGUCUAACAUAUGUGCAAGUUAUUGGGAUAUAACUAAUAGCGUAAUUAACUUGACUAUUAAUGGGAUUAGUUUUUUAACUAUUUAUAGUUCAUUAACGCAAUCCCGGGGCGCUCUUUAUAGUUAUGUAUAAUAAUAUUUAUAUUAUUUAUGCCUCUAACUGGAACGUACCUUGAGCAUAUAUGCUGUGACCCGAAAGAUGGUGAACUAUACUUGAUCAGGUUGAAGUCAGGGGAAACCCUGAUGGAAGACCGAAACAGUUCUGACGUGCCAAAUCGAUUGUCAGAAUUGAGUAUAGGGGCGAAAGACCAACCAAACCAUCUAGUAGCUGGUUCCUUCCAAAGUUUCCCUCAGGAUAGCUGGUGCAUUUAACUGUUGUAUAAAAUAAUCUUAUCUGGUAAAGCGAAUGAUUAGAGGCCUUAGGGUCGAAACGAUCUUAACCUAUUCUCAAACUUUAAUGGGUAAGAACCUUAACUUUCUUGAUAUGAAGUUUAAGGUUAUGAUAUAAUGUGCCCAGUGGGCCACUUUUGGUAAGCAGAACUGGCGCUGUGGGAUGAACCAAACGUAAUGUUACGGUGCCCAAAUUAACAACUCAUACAGAAACCAUGAAAGGCGUUGGUUGCUUAAAACAGCAGGACGGUGAUCAUGGAAGUCGAAACCGCUAAGGAGUGUGUAACAACUCACCUGCCGAAGCAACUAGCCCUUAAAAUGGAUGGCGCUUAAGUUGUAUACCUAUACAUUACCGCUAAAGUAGAUGGUUUAUAUUACUUGUAAUAUAAAUUUUGAAACUUUAGUGAGUAGGAAGGUACAAUGGUGUGCAUAGAAGUGUUUGGCGUAAGCCUGCAUGGAGCCGCUAUUGGUACAGAUCUUGGUGGUAGUAGCAAAUAAUCGAAUGAGACCUUGGAGGACUGAAGUGGAGAAGGGUUUCGUGUGAACAGUGGUUGAUCACGAGUCAGUCGGUCCUAAGUUCAAGGCGAAAGCCGAAAAUUUUCAAGUGAAGAAAAAUCUAAAUAUAUUUGUCAUCUAACCGAUUUUUAUAUACUUGAAUAAUUUUGAACGAAAGGGAAUACGGUUCCAAUUCCGUAACCUGUUGAGUAUCCGUUUGUUAUUAAAUAUGGGCCUCGUGCUCAUCCUGGCAACAGGAACGACCAUAAAGAAGCCGUCGAGAGGUAUCGGAAGAGUUUUCUUUCUGUUUUAUAGCCGUACUACCAUGGAAGUCUUUCGCAGAGAGAUAUGGUAGAUGUGCUAGAAGAGCAUGACAUAUACUGUUGUGUCGAUAUUUUCUCCUCGGACCUUGAAAAUUUAUGGUGGGGACACGCAAACUUCUCAACAGGCCGUACCAAUAUCCGCAGCUGGUCUCCAAGGUGAAAGGUCUCUAGUCGAUAGAAUAAUGUAGGUG